CAAUGUCUGGUUCAACCACAACGACCACACCAGUUUCAACCACAACUUCCCAGAUAACAACCACCGCAAGUUGCAACAUUAGCCGGGACUUUUGCUCAAAUUGCGGUGAGGCGCCAAUCAGCGUGGACGCCACUAUCCCUAAUGGGCAGCCUGCCUCAGAGAAUGAGUAUCCUUACCAAGUGUCAAUACAAGGAAAUAAAGGAACCCCCAUUAAGUACUGUGAAGGAGCUCUCGUCGCGUUAGAUUGGAUUUACACCUCUACUGAUUGCUUCCUGUUGAAAUGUAAGUUUUAACUCACGCUUACGAGAUCACAAAUGACAAAUCAGAAUGGAAAGAUUAACAUUAUCCCUAAUGUUCACUGAUCCUAAAUUACCUUUUAACCUCGUCUUACUUAGUGCUUCAUUACAGUCAAGGGAAUUGGUGUUGACUGGAGUUUGAAUUUCCAGGGUUGGUACAGUGCAGGUCAAAUAUGCUUUUGGCAGCCUCAAUGCAAGUAACCUGUCAUAUGAACCUGUAACAUACUACGUAUUUGGUUCGUAUGGAGUUUUCAGUCAAAUUCCACCAGUGACGAAUCCCACUGCCCAGCACCUAUGUUUGGCAGAGGAUGUUGACAUUGGUGUGGGUACAAGGGCCGUGGUUACCUCGUGGGGGCAGUUGGUUCCAGGUGGGGCUCAAGGCAAUGUGCUUCAAGAGUCCGUCGAAGAGAUCGUACAUUUUAGUCAUUGUAAAGAUAUAAGUUCAAAUGAUAAUAUCUUGUGCACUAAGCGACUGACACAGGGACCGUGCUUGGGUGUUCCAGGGAGUCCCCUCGUGGUGGAGGUCUGCCCAAACAAGUGGGCACUGGCUGGGAUAUUUCACCCCGGAAAUAAUUGCUCUUAUGACCAGAUAUAUGUAGCAUAUACCCUUGUAAUCGGGGAUUCUAUAGUGGACUUUGAUUUUGAUCCACCAAAAUGCCCCUAGUAAUGACCAUAGAUUGAAGAAGCAUUUUUAGAAUUGGAAUGGCUGGCCUUUCUGUCAACUGAGUCUCAUUUGCAGGAAUGGGAAAAUGAUUUGGGCGAGACCUGGUUCUGAUUGUGGAAUGUUCAAUUGGAUGCAAUGUAGGUUAGGUAGAUCCCUAUCUCAGGACUGAAAAAAGUCCAAUUGGAUACCAGUUGGCUUAGGCAGAUCUUUAUUGCAGAAAUUCAAAGUUGCAUUGAAAAUAAGAUAAGAAUAUACCAUUUUCAGGUGCUUCUCAUUCAUAAGCUGUCUUUGAUUGAUUUUACUUCUUUAUGGUUAAUAGCAAGUGUGUGAUAUGUCGGUUUUGGUGUUGAAAACCUAUCUAAGCUAAUGUAUAGAAAAUUUGUUAAAUCCAUUUACCUGGAAUAUGUUAUGCAUUUUGAGUUUUGUUUUGUUGAUAAUUUCACCUUUACAUAUUGAUUUUUGUUUUAUCUUGAAGUACGUUUGUUGUGAAUGUAAUAAUUUAAUAAAUGAA